rnacentral:rRNA from 1 species
CGCUCAGAUUGAACGCUGGCGGCAGGCCUAACACAUGCAAGUCGAGCGGUAACACAAGGGAGCUUGCUUCUGAGGUGACGAGCGGCGGACGGGUGAGUAAUGCCUAGGGAUCUGCCCAGUCGAGGGGGAUAACAGUUGGAAACGACUGCUAAUACCGCAUACGCCCUACGGGGGAAAGGAGGGGACCUUCGGGCCUUCCGCGAUUGGAUGAACCUAGGUGGGAUUAGCUAGUUGGUGAGGUAAUGGCUCACCAAGGCGACGAUCCCUAGCUGUUCUGAGAGGAUGAUCAGCCACACUGGGACUGAGACACGGCCCAGACUCCUACGGGAGGCAGCAGUGGGGAAUAUUGCACAAUGGGGGAAACCCUGAUGCAGCCAUGCCGCGUGUGUGAAGAAGGCCUUCGGGUUGUAAAGCACUUUCAGAGGGA